GCUGGGCAUGGUGGCGCAUGCCUGUAAUCCCAGCUACUCAGGAGGCUGAGGCAGAAGAAUUGCUUGAACCUGGGAGGCAGAGGUUGCAGUGAGCCGAGAUCAUGCCAUUGCACUCCAGCCUGAGUGACAGAGUGAGACUCUGCCUCAA
rnacentral:SRP_RNA from 1 species